AUGUCGACCACUAGCUCAUGUGCUUUUUGCGGCGCUAGGGAUUCCUGGAGACAUUCUCUCCUUGAGUGUUCGGUUGCAAGGUGUGUAUGGGCUUUGGAAGAAGGCGAAAUGGUGGACUGCAUGAUCGCUACGACUGAACCAAAUGCGAAACAGUGGCUCUUUACCCUCAUGGCGACCUUGGACCAUGGCACUUUUGUCCGUCUGGCAGUCACUCUAUGGUCCAUAUGGAUGGCAAGGCAAAAAUAUAUACGCUACCCCCGGGAAAAUCGGGCUGCACAUGCAAGACCAAGAGCACCACCUGAGGGUUACGUCAAGAUCCAUGUCGAUGGAGCAGUGCAGCGCAACCGGAGAGGCUCCGCGGCGGCUGUAUGCUGAGACCAGGCGGGUAACUAUAUGGGAAGUUCAGCACUUGUCGUUCCGGGAAUAACAGAUCCGCCCACGUUGGAAGCGAUAGCGUGUCGAGAAGGCCUUGCUCUGGCCGAGGAUCUUCUGGUGAGCAAUCUAAUCAUCGCGUCGGAUUGCAAGCGGGUUAUUGAUGAUAUCAAGCAAGGCAACCAGGGCGCAUAUGGUUCGGUGAUCACAGAAAUCAAACUUCGUUCUUCGGAUUUUACUUGUAAUUUUGUUUUUGAAAGCCGUUCUUCAAACGGUGAAGCUCAUAGUUUAGCUAAGCAUGCACUUUCUCUCGGUGCGGAGCGCCACACUUGGUUGCUUAACCCCUAUAAUCCGACUUGUAUCCCACUACAUGUGGAUUAUCAUCAAUAA
rnacentral:rRNA from 1 species